rnacentral:rRNA from 1 species
UACAGAGGUCCCAAGCGUUGUUCGGAUUCACUGGGCGUAAAGGGUGCGUAGGCGGUCGGGUAAGUCUGAUGUGAAAUCUCCAAGCUCAACUUGGAAAUGGCAUCGGAUACUAUUCGGCUCGAGGAAUGGAGGGGAGACUGGAAUACUUGGUGUAGCAGUGAAAUGCGUAGAUAUCAAGUGGAACACCAGUGGCGAAGGCGGCGACCUGGGACAAUACUGACGCUGAGGCGCGAAGCGUGGGGAGCAAACAGG